GACGAACGCUGGCGGCGUGCCUAAUACAUGCAAGUCGAGCGGACUUUCAAGAAACUUGCUUUUUGAAAGUUAGCGGCGGACGGGUGAGUAACACGUGGGCAACCUGCCUGUAAGACGGGGAUAACUCCGGGAAACCGGGGCUAAUACCGGAUAAUAUCUUUCUUCGCAUGAAGGAAGGUUGAAAGGCGGCGCAAGCUGCCGCUUGCAGAUGGGCCCGCGGCGCAUUAGCUAGUUGGUGAGGUAACGGCUCACCAAGGCGACGAUGCGGAGCCGACCGGGAGGGGUGAUCGGCCACGCGGGGACUGAGAAACGGCCCAGACUCCUACGGGAGGUAGCAGUAGGGAAUCUUCCGCAAUGGGCGAAAGUCUGACGGAGCAACGCCGCGUGAGAGAAGAAGGUCUUCGGAUCGUAAAGCUCUGUUGUCAGGGAAGAACAAGUACCGGUCGAAUAGGGCGGUACCUUGACGGUACCUGACCAGAAAGCCACGGCUAACUACGUGCCAGCAGCCGCCGUAA
rnacentral:rRNA from 1 species